rnacentral:misc_RNA from 1 species
UCCUCGUUUAAGCGAGGCAGUCUGUCCAGAGUGCUCCGAUCUUACGAUCGGGUGGCAACAGGACACAAGGGUUGCGCUCGUUGCGGGACUUAACCCAACAUCUCACGACACGAGCUGACGACAGCCAUGCAGCACCUGUGUACCCUGAUAUUGCUAUCUCGUCAGGCUUUCACCCUUCUACUAGGUACAUGUCAAGGCCAGGUAAGGUUCUUCGCGUUGCAUCGAAUUGAGCCACAUACUCCACCGCUUGUGCAGGCCCCCGUCAAUUUCUUUGAGUUUUAAUCUUGCGACCGUACUUCCCAGGCGGCAUGUUUAACGCGUUGGCUCCGCCACAAAAGGGGUCGAUUCCUUUUACAGCAAACAUGCACCGUUUACGGCUAGGACUAC